UUAAAAAGCUCGUAGUUGGAUUUCUGUUGAGGAUGACCGGUCCGCUCUUUGAGCGCGUAUCUGGUUCAGCCUUGGCAUCCUCUUGGGGAACGCUACUGUGCUUGAUUGCAUGGGGCGGUAUUCAAGACUUUUACUUUGAGGAAAUUAGAGUGUUCACUGCAAGCGUUAGCAAUUGAAUACAUUAGCAUGGAAUAAUAAUAUAGGACCUUGGUACUAUUUUGUUGGUUUCUAGAACUAAGGUAAUGAUUAAUAGGGACAAUUGGGGGCAUUCGUAUUAACGCGUCAGAGGUGGAAUUCUUAGAUUGCGUUACGACGAACUACUGCGAAAGCAUUUGCCAAGGAUGUUUUCAUUGAUCAAGAACGAAAGUAUGGGGAUCGAAGACGCUUAGAUACCGUCGUAGUCUAUACCAUAAACUAUGCCAACUAGAGAUUGGAGGUCGUUCUCUUUAUGACUCCUUCAGCACCUUAUGAGAAAUCAAAGUCUUUGGGUUCCGGGGGGAGUAUGGUCGCAAGGCUGAAACUUAAAGGAAUUGACGGAAGGGCACCACCAGGAGUGGAGCCUGCGGCUUAAUUUGACUCAACACGGGAAAACUUACCAGGUCCAGACAUAGUAAGGAUUGACAGAUUGAUAGCUCU
rnacentral:rRNA from 1 species